rnacentral:rRNA from 1 species
UGACCUGCGGAGGGAUCAUUACCGAGUUUACAACUCCCAAACCCAUGUGAACAUACCUAUUGUUGCUUCGGCGGGAUUGCCCCGGGCGCCUCGUGUGCCCCGGAUCAGGCGCCCGCCUAGGGACUUUAACUCUUGUUUUAUUUUGAAUCUUCUGAGUAGUUUUUACAAAUAAAUAAAAACUUUCAACAACGGAUCUCUUGGUUCUGGCAUCGAUGAAGAACGCAGCGAAAUGCGAUAAGUAAUGUGAAUUGCAGAAUUCAGUGAAUCAUCGAAUCUUUGAACGCACAUUGCGCCCGCCAGUAUUCUGGCGGGCAUGCCUGUCUGAGCGUCAUUUCAACCCUCAUGCCCCUAGGGCGUGGUGUUGGGGAUCGGCCAAAGCCCGCGAGGGACGGCCGGCCCCUAAAUCUAGUGGCGGACCCGUCGUGGCCUCCUCUGCGAAGUAGUGAUAUUCCGCAUCGGAGAGCGAUGAGCCCCUGCCGUUAAACCCCCAACUUUCUAAGGUUGACCUCAGAUCAGGUAGGAAUACCCGCUGAACUUAAGCAUAUCAAUAA